CACCGGUUUGCGGGAGAGAGCCGAAAGGCCGCCGAAGGGGAAAUCGCCCGAAAUCUCUCAGGCAAAAGAACCGUAAGCCGGAA
rnacentral:ncRNA from 2 species